AUGUGCAGCCGUCCACCUUUAGCACACCUUCACACGGUGGAAGUCGUAGGUUCGAAUCCUGCUGUGCCCACCA
rnacentral:tRNA from 1 species